rnacentral:rRNA from 1 species
UAGGGAAUCUUGCGCAAUGGGCGAAAGCCUGACGCAGCCAUGCCGCGUGAAUGAUGAAGGUCUUAGGAUUGUAAAAUUCUUUCACCGGGGAGGAUAAUGACGGUACCCGGAGAAGAAGCCCCGGCUAACUUCGUGCCAGCAGCCGCGGUAAUACGAAGGGGGCUAGCGUUGCUCGGAAUUACUGGGCGUAAAGGGCGCGUAGGCGGAUAUUUAAGUUGGGGGUGAAAGCCCGGGGCUCAACCUCGGAAUAGCCUUCAAUACUGGAUAUCUUGAGUUCGGGAGAGGUGAGUGGAAUGCCGAGUGUAGAGGUGAAAUUCGUAGAUAUUCGGCGGAACACCAGUGGCGAAGGCGACUCACUGGCCCGAUACUGACGCUGAGGCGCGAAAGCGUGGGGAGCAAACAGGAUUAGAUACCCUGGUAGUCCACGCCGUAAAACGAUGAGUGCUAGUUGUCGGCAUGCAUGCAUGUCGGUGACGCAGCUAACGCAUUAAGCACUCCGCCUGGGGAGUACGGUCGCAAGAUUAAAACUCAAAGGAAUUGAC